CGUUACUUGUCGGAGUGCCCCUUGGGCUGAGAUCGCAUUUUGCGGGAUCCGUGAACCUGAUCAGGUUAAAACCUGCGUAGGGAACAAGCUGCCAGUAUUA
rnacentral:ncRNA from 2 species